UCUUAGAGUUUGCAGGCCGUCCUCCCUUUGAACAUUCACCCACCAGAUUUUAUACUCAAAAUGGAGACGCUCAUCCUGGAUUCCAGCUGCUGCAGUUUUGUGAACCCCUGGAGCCACAAGGUUGCCUUCAUCAUCGGUCAGCAUAAGGCUCAAACAUUUGAAAUACAGUUGUAUCUUGAUGGAAAUUUUCACAACUAGGAAUCAGUAAGUCUCAACUUGAGUUGAAGAACAAAUCCAAAUCCUUCUGAAAGUAUAUGGGAAGCAUUUCUGUUGUGAGUGUCUUGUACACAUUUAUGUGUUCAUGGGCUUCUGCCGUGGACCGAGCACUGUGUGCUGAGUGCUUGAGACCCAGAAGUGAACCCUGUGGACAGAAGUACCAGCUGGAGCGUGUGUGGUGUUGGAAGCAGGGAAGGACAGGAAGCAGUGACAGCAGAGACUUUGCUGGUGGCAGUCGUUCUGUGGGAGUCUCCCCAGGUGGGCAGCGAGCUCAGAGUGCACAGGAGGAAUCAUGGCUCAAGACAGCUGAGAAGUCCGACUGGAGAGUGCAGAACAAACUCCCACCUCCGUUCUCAAACUCACCAGGUGCCCAAGAGGUAAGACCGCACGUUAGACAUCCCACUCAGUGUUAUGUUUAUGGUUUCUUAAUGUGUUUUUAG
rnacentral:lncRNA from 1 species